AGUGAACGCUGGCGGUAGGCCUAACACAUGCAAGUCGAACGGCAGCACAGUAAGAGCUUGCUCUUACGGGUGGCGAGUGGCGGACGGGUGAGGAAUACAUCGGAAUCUACUUUUUCGUGGGGGAUAACGUAGGGAAACUUACGCUAAUACCGCAUACGACCUACGGGUGAAAGCAGGGGAUCUUCGGACCUUGCGCGAUUGAAUGAGCCGAUGUCGGAUUAGCUAGUUGGCGGGGUAAAGGCCCACCAAGGCGACGAUCCGUAGCUGGUCUGAGAGGAUGAUCAGCCACACUGGAACUGAGACACGGUCCAGACUCCUACGGGAGGCAGCAGUGGGGAAUAUUGGACAAUGGGCGCAAGCCUGAUCCAGCCACACCGCGUGGGUGAAGAAGGCCUUCGGGUUGUAAAGCCCUUUUGUUGGGAAAGAAAAGCAGCAUGUUAAUACCCCGCUGUUCUGACGGUACCCAAAGAAUAAGCACCGGCUAACUUCGUG
rnacentral:rRNA from 1 species